CGUCGCUCCAGAAAACGAACACGGUGAAAAUCCUAGCCUACAGAGAGCCUCAUCUCAUCCCCAAUCCCCUGCCUCCUCUUCUCCCUCAAUCCCUAUCCUCUCCUUCUCCCAAAUCCGCCGCCUCCUCUUCUCCUCCCCAAUCCGCCGCCUCCUCUUUUCCUCCGCAAUCCGUGAGCCCUCACCACCAAGAAGCCACGGGUGCGCCGCCGCUGGAAGAAAAAAAGAAGAGGAGGUGGCACGGGGACCAGCAGCGGCGACGGCCUGGGAGCCACCCUGGAGCAGGUGGAGAUGCGGGGCGGCGAUGAAGGCGUGUGAGAAGAUGGCCUGAGCGUCCUCGUCAAGGGCAGUUUUGGCUACCUCCUCCCGCCUCGGCUUGUUUUUCUCUCCUCCACCGUUGCUACUUCCUCGCUGCUCUCCAAUGAGUGAUUGGGUUUGUCCGCUUGGUGGAGCAGGCAGGGAGCAAGUAGGCAAAUAUGGGAGAAGGAGAAUGACCCUGACGAGAUGGCUGCCAUAGGGUCGUGACCUUCUUUAGCAUGCACAUCGGCACCGUCCCCGCGUCCGCAGCAGGGGGACGACAAUGGCUGCAAGUGACGGCACAGGAGCCCAUCUUAGUCGAGCACCCUCCCAGGAUUUUACUACUGUUAUGGCAAAAGAAGGCUAAAGCUGGGAAAGACAACAAUGUCAGGAGCCGGCCGAGCUAGAUCCAAAAUGCAGAGAGGCAAGGUUUAUUUUCCUGGAGGUCCUAUAUUGCAGCUGGUGCUAUUUUGUUAUGUCAAAUUGUGUAUUUUUCCAGCUUCCCUUCCUCAUGUAUGAGCUUGUCUAUGGUGGGAUGGGGAUUCGGAGGAUAAAUGUUAUGGCAGUAAGGAGGUCAAGCGCGAGACGUCACAUGUCAAGGGGAUUUACUAUUUAGUCUCUUCUAAUCAGGUGAAGAGAUACUGCUGGUUUAAACGGAAUCCAUACUUUAACAUGAUUUCUCCCAAUUCAACAAAGUCAGGUACUACUCAUGUUCUUUCAUGCUAUGGAGCUACUCGAGGCAGCAGAACAUUAUCCCACACGGAGAUGGGGAUGGCCAUGCCCGUGCUGAUGCCGUCGGCCGUCGGUGAGAGCAUCAUCGUCAACAACGGCUCCAGCGACCUCUCCAGGAGCUUCUCCAUGAGCUCCUCGGGUGACACCAACUCCAACAUCAUGUUCUUCACGCCCGGAAGCAAAAAAGCGAAGGUGCUCAUCGACAGCGACGAUGGCAUGGUCACCAGCCUCAGCAAAAUCGAAUCCCAAUUUGGCAUGUCAACCACGUCUUUAGACAUGUCCGGCAUGGACGACUAUCUGCAGCUGCAGCAAUACUUCAUCGCCUACACAGUCUGCACCAAGCGUGGCUGCGCCACUCACCCACGAAGCAUCACUGAGAGGAUUAGAAAGAAGAGCAAGGAAUAGCAAGAGGCUAAGGAGGCUGCAAGACCUCGUGCCCAAUAUGGACAAGGUAACUAAAUCAGUUGAAUUGAUGCACACUGUCAAUUCUGUCACCAUAAAGUUGGGUGCCAUCUGGCAUCUGCAGAGUAUCAAAGCUUCUUCUAGAUCAAAGAAAGCUAAUCCAGAAUCAACCAUAGUCAGUGCAAGAAGGUUAUACAGGGCAGAUGAUAUUUCAUCAGAGAGGUAUACUACAGUGAAAAUAUAAUAAGUGUGCCAGUUUGUGAUGGUUGAGGGGAAAUGUGAGGUUAUAGCAAAGAAUGACAUUCCAAAUUCAAAUCUUCCGGUAGUGGUUGAGCAUGCCUUUUACUGUGAACAUUUAUAUGAUCCUGAUGCUGGAGCUCUUAAGCAGCUACCGACAAAUGUUAAGCUCAUGACCUUGACAAGGAAGGCGCAUGCUGCAAAAAAGAAUGAAGGCAAGUAGAUUUGUGACGAUGGGCAAGCUGGUUCAGACAAACAGAACGCAACACCAGAGAACUGUCUUGCAACCCUUGAUAUUUUUGCUGGCUGUGGAGGUUUGUCUGAAGGGUAGUAGCUAUCUGUACUGGCGCACCAUGUACAAAUUGGGCAAUUGGAUAUGAAGAACCUGCCAGGAAAGCAUUUGGUGAAAAUCAUCCAGAGGCAGUGGCAUUAGUGGAGAACUGCAAUGUGAUUCUAAAGUUGUGGUCAGGGAGGCAAAGCGAAGGGCAACCUCCGGAGUGUCGCGGAAGAGUGGUGUGAGUAGAGGGUGUCGCGGAAGAGUGUCACGCAAAUAAGUGGGUGGGGGAAGGAAGCAGAGCAGGCAAUGCCCCUAUUUAUAUUUGGCGUUGGCAUGUCCAGAUCGAUGGGCCAAAGCUCAUUGAAGUGAUGAAUCGAACAAGGAGGAAGGGUAACACGAUGACGUGUUUGGUCUUCAGCCAUUUCUUUACUAAGAAACCCAGGGUCCCUCGGCUACUUAUGUUUUGCCAGACAAUGAGAAGAUGUAGAUAGCAUGUAUGGUUUUUACAUUGCUUUGCGCAGGUUGAGAUGCAUUACAUGAUGUUUUCCUUUUACAUUUAUGAAUAUUAUAGAGUCCUUUCUUUUUCCACAAGGGGCAAUAGUUGUGCCAUUUGAUUCGAAGGACAAAGAGUUGAUCACAAAUGGAUAGCAUUCAGGAUAUAUACACAAAAGAGUAUAGAACCAAAUUAUAUGAUGUAGUUGACUAUUAUUUCUAUUAACUUCUCCUGUACACAAUGUUCACGAGUUCAUGUAUUAACUACAUUUUAUUGUGUCA